AGUAGUUGAUCAUGGCUCAGGACGAACGCUGGCGGCGUGCUUAACACAUGCAAGUCGAGCGAUGAAGCUCUCGGAAGUGGAUAGCGGCGGACGGGUGAGUAACACGUGGGUAACCUGCCUCAUAGGAGGGGAAUAGCCUUCCGAAAGGAAGAUUAAUACCGCAUAAGAUUGUAAUAUCGCAUGAUAUAGCAAAUUAAAGGAGUAAUCCGCUAUGAGAUGGACCCGCGUCGCAUUAGCUAGUUGGUGAGGUAACGGCUCACCAAGGCGACGAUGCGUAGCCGACCUGAGAGGGUGAUCGGCCACAUUGGGACUGAGACACGGCCCAGACUCCUACGGGAGGCAGCAGGUGGGGAAUAUUGCACAAGUGGGGGAAACCCUGAUGCAGACCAACGCCGCGUGAGUGAUGACGGUCUUCGGAUUGUAAAGCUCUGUCUUCGAGGGACGAUAAUGACGGUACCUGAGGAGGAAGCCACGGCUAACUACGUGCCAGCCGCAGC
rnacentral:rRNA from 1 species